GAUUCAGCUGUGGUCUACUCAGCAGUGAGAACUGAAGACGUCUGUUAUGGACAAACAACCAUCAGAACAAGGAGGCCCAGACUUUAAACCAGAGCCAGACGUCGUCUACUCUUCACUGAAGUAGUCCACCAGUCCAACCACUGAUGUCCAGCUGCUGGUCUCUAACUGGUCCCCCCAGCACCUCAGACCAGAG